rnacentral:rRNA from 1 species
AUGGCGUGGACAAAUCACAACUGGAAUGGGCCAAAAAUAAAUCAAUGCCGGCUUGGAUGGAUGAAUAAUUGUCAAGGGCUGCUGCAAAAGCUGCCCGAAGGAUCUAGUCCAAGAGACGCCGUCUGUCUUAAUAAUAGUACUGAUCUGCACUGCGGGUCACCAUUAGUCCAUUACUUUAUGGAUGUCCGGUGCCAGGUAACCAUAUCACCGAGAAUAAUCUCCCUAUCUAAUAACAUGGACACAAAAAAUAAUCCGUAUAUAUUCUCCGUCCAAUCAAAUAGAGCCCAAACAAGACUAGCCGGCUGCACACAUACGGCUCGCACCUGUCGUAGUUGCGGUAGCAUGUCUGUCAGGGUCGCCCACCCGUCCCGUACACGCAUACGGAUACGGUUGUUAAAUACUGCCACGUUUACGUUGCGUCAGUUAGUCAGUCGCGACAGCACGGCUAGGGUUCUAGCUUUAGUUUAA